rnacentral:tRNA from 1 species
GAUAAUGAAGUAAAAUUUACAUUUAGUUUCGGCCUAAAAUUAGGGAUUAACCCCUUUAUCU